UGUCGAGUGGUAUGCAUCGCAUAUAUGGGGUUGCCCUCUUCGUCCAUCUUCGUAUGAACCGGACAUGGCUGGUCCAGGAUGGGGUUAUUGAACUGCUUCUUCUUGGGGGUGAACUGAGCCUUCCCUUUGCCCUUGAACUUGGCAUUGGUUACGGCUGCAGCUUCUGCUUGCGGAGCGGUCGGAGCUUUCUGCUUCUGCUUCCGAGUGUUGCCCCCGUCUCCUUCAGCGACUGUUUUGUGCUUGCCGCUUCAGAUGCGGUCCUCUUCUUCGCCAUUUGCAUAGCGUGUCGCUAUCUCCAUCAUCUUGCUCAUGGAGAUGUCGCCUGUUCGGCCAAACUU
rnacentral:lncRNA from 1 species